GCCAGCAUGGUGUAGUGGUUUGAAUGUUGGACUAUGGCUCAGGAGACCAGGGUUCGAUCCCUGCUCAGGCA
rnacentral:tRNA from 1 species